AGGCCUUCGUUGUUUAAAGAAGCCUCAUUCACUCACUCUGCUACCCCAGAAGAAGCAGCAGAAAUCAGAGCAGCCAAGUAGGUAGAAGACUCCUCCAGCCUCCUAGGAGCCUUAGCUUCCUUCCUGGCCAGGAACUGGGCUGGAUAAGAUAAUGUGUGCAGAGGGACGCAGAGUCCUCUCCCCUGCAGAUUUCAGCUGGUCUGGUACUGAGAUCUUUGCCCAGGCCAGUCUUUCCUGCCACAUGAUCUUAGACAGGGGGGAAAAAACUAGCCUGGAAAGCAGACUGGAAGGUUUGGUCUCAUCCAAAAAGACAGUGAGGCGCUUCACAUGAUAAGAGUGAAGCACCAGAUGGGGUUUGUGCAGCUGCUUGUUGCUGGGUGGCCGCAUCAGCCAUCCAGAUGACUGGCUGCUCUGGUAGGGUGCUCCUGCGCCAGGCCGCAACUCUGUUUGUUGCUCCGGGGGAAGGUUUGCACUGCCUCAUGGGGCCAGAGCCCCCCAAACUCCAGGAAGGCACCAUGCAAGUAUGCGGUGCCUUCCUGGGGUCCUCCUCCCCUCUCCUCUCUCCCCCCAACCUCAAGUGUGUCAGCUGCAGCUACAAGCAGAUACUCCAGCAUUCAACAAGACUUGCCCUCCAUUGGCUGCCAUUGGUAUUGAAAAAUGUUGUCAGAGUAUCCUGAUCUGAAGAAAGUUGUAGACGGAUUUGCUUCUUGUUGCAACAGUUGUAUUCAGUUUCAUUAAUCAGGCUUGACCACAACAUCUAUAUUAUUAAUUCUCCAAGAUGGGCCAUGCGUGGGGACAUGGUAGAAAGGAGGCAAUUGGCUGACAGAGUUUGCAAGCAGAAGCACCUGAUUGGGCAGCGGGGAUUCCAUACACAGAUAAGGAGGAGGAGCCUGUGAUGGUUAAGGGCUGUAAUUCUUGAGUUUGUCUUGUGGGCCUUCAUGGAAAGCUACAAGUAAAGUGCUUGAAAACAGAAGCGCUGGAUCAAGCCAGUAGUUCAAGUUGGACAGUUGUUUUACUUUCCUUCUUCCCAAAGUAGAUUGGAUAACUUGAACACUGGACUUUUUAAAGACAAAAGCGGGGAGUGGAAAAGACAUGUGAGAGAACUGUUAAGUUAAAUAUUUCUGUUAAUAAAUAUUUGCAUAAAUAUACUUAGCACUUGUUUUACCUUUAAUGCUCUCUGGCAAAUACCAUUGCUGCUUGGACCCUUCAGAAUCCAAAUGUUACACUUGGACUUUCCCCAAGAAUUAUUUCCAAGCUCAGGAGAAACCAGAUCCAUCUGAGCCUUACAAAAACCCUCCACCAGACACAACCUUCGUUGCCAGUGGUUUCCCUCCAGGCUCAAGGAGGCAUGAGGAAUUAAAGCU